UCCCCGUUACCGGGGCAGUCUGAUUAGAAAAAUACAACUAAUCACAAGGGUUGCGCUCGUUAAAGGACUUAACCUAACAUCUCACGACACGAGCUGACGACGGCCAUGCAGCACCUGUCACUUGGCUCAAUAAAGCACUCUCUGCUUUCGCAGAAAUUCCAAGGAUGUCAAGUCUGGGUAAGGUUUGUCGUUUAUCAUCGAAUUAAAGAACACGAUCCACCGCUUGUGCGGCUCCCCGUCAAUUCCUUUAUGUUUUAGUCUUGCGACCGUACUCCACAGGCGGGAUACUUAACGCGUUAGCUUCGCUACUGAAGGGGUCGAUACCUCCAACAGCUAGUAUCCAUCGUUUACGGCGUGGACUAC
rnacentral:misc_RNA from 1 species